CCUACGGGUGGCUGCAGUGAGGAAUAUUGGUCAAUGGACGAGAGUCUGAACCAGCCAAGUAGCGUGAAGGAUGACUGCCCUAUGGGUUGUAAACUUCUUUUAUCUGGGAAUAAAAUGUUCCACGUGUGGGUUUUUGUAUGUACCAUAUGAAUAAGGAUCGGCUAAAUCCGUGCCAGCAGCCGCGGUAAUACGGAGGGUCCGAGCGUUAUCCGGAUUUAUUGGGUUUAAAGGGAGCGUAGGUGGGUUGUUAAGUCAGUUGUGAAAGUUUGCGGCUCAACCGUAAAAUUGCAGUUGAAACUGGAAGUCUUGAGUGCAGUAGAGGUGGGCGGAAUUCGUGGUGUAGCGGUGAAAUGCUUAGAUAUCACGAAGAACUCCGAUUGCGAAGGCAGCUCGCUGGACUGCAACUGACACUGAGGCUCGAAAGUGUGGGUAUCAAACAGGAUUAGAUACCCUUGUAGUC
rnacentral:rRNA from 1 species